rnacentral:rRNA from 1 species
GUGCCAGCCGCUGCGGUAAUACGGAGGGUGCAAGCGUUAAUCGGAAUUACUGGGCGUAAAGCGCACGCAGGCGGUCUGUCAAGUCGGAUGUGAAAUCCCCGGGCUCAACCUGGGAACUGCAUUCGAAACUGGCAGGCUGGAGUCUUGUAGAGGGGGUAGAAUUCCAGGUGUAGCGGUGAAAUGCGUAGAGAUCUGGAGGAAUACCGGUGGCGAAGGCCGGCCCCCUGGACAAGACUGACGCUCAGGUGCGAAAGCGUGGGGAGCAAACAGGAUUAGAUACCCUGGUAGUCCACGCCGUAAACGAUGUCGACUUGGAGGUUGUGCCCUUGAGGCGUGGCUUCCGGAGCUAACGCGUUAAGUCGACCGCCGUGGGGAGUACGGCCG